UACGUAGGGUGCAAGCGUUGUCCGGAAUUAUUGGGCGUAAAGAGCUCGUAGGCGGUUUGUCGCGUCGAAUGUGAAAUCCCGGGGCUCAACCCCGGGCCUGCAUUCGAUACGGGCAGACUAGAGUUCGGUAGGGGAGUCUGGAAUUCCUGGUGUAGCGGUGAAAUGCGCAGAGAUGUGGAGGAACACCAGUGGCGAAGGCGACUCUUUGGCCUGUAACUGACGCUGAGGCGCGAAAGCGUGGGGAGCAAACAGG
rnacentral:rRNA from 1 species